rnacentral:rRNA from 1 species
UCAGUAACACGUAGUCAACAUGCCCAGGGACGUGGAUAACCUCGGGAAACUGAGGAUAAACCGCGAUAGGUCACUACUUCUGGAAUGGGUAAUGACCCAAACCUAUAUGGCCCCUGGAUUGGACUGCGGCCGAUCAGGCUGUUGGUGGGGUAAUGGCCCACCAAACCUGUAACCGGUACGGGCUCUGAGAGGAGGAGCCCGGAGAUGGGCACUGAGACAAGGGCCCAGGCCCUAUGGGGCGCAGCAGGCGCGAAACCUCUGCAAUACGGCGAAAGCUUGACAGGGUUACUCUGAGUGAUUUCCGUUAAGGAGAUCUUUUGGCACCUCUAAGAAUGGUGCAGAAUAAGGGGUGGGCAAGUCUGGUGCCAGCC